UGAACGCGAAGAACCUUACCAUCCUUUGACAUGGCGUGUUACUGGGAGAGAUUCCAGUUCCUCUUCGGAGGCGCGCACACAGGUGCUGCAUGGCUGUCGUCAGCUCGUGUCGUGAGAUGUUGGGUUAAGUCCCGCAACGAGCGCAACCCACGUCCUCAGUUGCCAUCAUUCAGUUGGGCACUCUGGGGAGACUGCCGGUGAUAAGCCGCGAGGAAGGUGUGGAUGACGUCAAGUCCUCAUGGCCCUUACGGGAUGGGCUACACACGUGCUACAAUGGCGGUGACAGUGGGACGCGAGACCGCGAGGUUGAGCAAAUCCCCAAAAGCCGUCUCAGUUCGGAUUGCACUCUGCAACUCGAGUGCAUGAAGGUGGAAUCGGUAGUAAUCGUGGAUCAGCAUGCCACGGUGAAUACGUUCCCGGGUCUUGUACACACGCA
rnacentral:rRNA from 1 species